rnacentral:ncRNA from 1 species
GCAACCUGCGCCUCGCGCGCGAGAGCGUCGCGGUGUUCCGCUCCAUCCUCGGCAUCUCGUGGAUGUGGUUCUUCGGGGCGGUGUUUUUGUCCCAGUUCCCGUCGUUCGCCAAGGAGGUGCUG